rnacentral:rRNA from 1 species
CAGUAGCCGCGGGAAUACGUAGGUGGCAAGCGUUGUCCGGAUUUAUUGGGCGUAAAGCGAGCGCAGGCGGUCAAUUAAGUCUGAUGUGAAAGCCCCCGGCUCAACCGGGGAGGGUCAUUGGAAACUGGUUGACUUGAGUGCAGAAGAGGAGAGUGGAAUUCCAUGUGUAGCGGUGAAAUGCGUAGAUAUAUGGAGGAACACCAGUGGCGAAGGCGACUCUCUGGUCUGUAACUGACGCUGAGGCUCGAAAGCGUGGGUAGCAAACAGGAUUAGAUACCCCUGUAGUCCCUGUCUCUUAUAA